AGGACGAACGCUUGCGGCGUGCCUAAGAAAUGCAAGUCGAACGGGAGGCUUCGGUCUCCAGUGGCGAACGGUCGCGUAACACGUAGGCAACCUGCCCUAAAGUGGGGGACAACAAUCCGAAAGGAUUGCUAAUACCGCAUGUGGCCAACGAGAGGCAUCUCUUGUUGUCCAAAGCAGCGAUGCGCUUUAGGAUGGGCUUGCGGCCUAUCAGCUUGUUGAUGGGGUAACGCCUACCAAGGCGACGACGGGUAGCUGGU
rnacentral:rRNA from 1 species